UGUAAAUCGAUGAAAUGACUCAAAAAUUAAAACCUACGUCAUCAAAAAAUUCCCCGUUAUUAAAGCUUUUUUUGAUUUAUACACAUCAACCGGCCGACUGACCAGAAAUACUUAAAUGCAAUAUAGGAAAUACCAACACUAAAAUUGGACAGAGUUAUUCAGGAUGUACCAGAAAAGAAAAGAUCUGUAUCAUCGUUUCUGUGAAGAGCUGGAUUGCAUACAGUUUUGCGAAGUGCAAACACCAAGAGCGAAGAAAAUUGCCAUGAAACAAAAAGAAAAUUUAGAAGGAACAUGCAUACGAAGAACGUGUUUUUUUGUUUUUUUUCAAUGGGAAUUUUCCAGGUCACGUCAAACAAACUUUUUGAUGACAAACAAACAUGGCGGACUUCAUGUGCCAACAAUUUCAAAGCAUACUAUAACUAUCUCAGUGACUUCACUAAAGACCACCAGAAGCAGGAUUCAUGAUACCAAAAAAGCUAGUGAUCAAUACAUUCAAAUAUGAGAUAGGCACUGCAUGUCUUGCAGAUAUGCUUUCUUUCAAGCCGAGAGAGAUCAUAACAAUUAUGUAGACAAUAUUGAUAAAGUCUUGAUGAAUAGCAAUUACUAGUCUAUUGAAUGUACGUAGCUCAUAUAACAUUGACCAAAAAAGAAAAAAAAAGAAAAAAAAAAUGCUUUGUGUUCAUAUGUGCAAUCAAAUGAUAUGACUAAUAAACAAAGGGGAAACAAACAACUUCAAAGGACAACUUUUUAGAGAGGAUAAACCUAGAUAAUCAGGAAAGUUCCCUUUGAAUAUAUUUAUUAUUUAUUAAUGUUUUUAUUCAGAAUACUGUUUUUGUGUGACUUAAUAACUAGGUAAUGUUGUUUUAUUAUGAAAAGAGCUGUCCCUCUUUAUUAGUAUCAACUUAACCAAAGGUAACAGAUUUGUCAAACGUGUUUUCAGGUAAGACUUGAUAAUAUAAUUAUUCUAUUUUAAUGUCUUUAUGUCUUAAUUUGCCAAUAAUAUCAAGCAUCUACUUUUUAAAAAAAAAAUUUUUAAAGAAUAAUCACAAGUCACUAUAAUUCAAAAUUUUGAAUAUCAAUAUAUGAAAGCUUCGUUUUCUUAUUUAAUUUGAAAAUAUUUUACACAAUUACUUUUUUAACUUUAUUCUUUCUGAUUUUAAUUUAUUCAUGUCCCAUUUCUAAUUUACAAAUUCAUUAUAAUUAGGAUAAUAAAAAUGAUGAUGAUUAGUAAAUAAAAAAAACUUUUAUAUUCUCUGAGGAACUUUUGCUUUGAUUCAUGGAUCAAUAUUGUUUUACUUUUUAAUUAAAUCAAAUAUGAUGUUCAUUUUCAAAAAAUAUAUUUCAAGUCAAACAGUUAGCACAACAGGAGGAUAUUCUUUGUUCUGAAAAAGUUUUGGAAGUAGUAUAUAACUUUGUUUACAAUGAUAUUUAUGUACACAUCAAAACUGCUUUAUGUUUUUCAUCCAAGUAGUAGAAGUACUAGUAGAGAAUAUUUGGAUAAAACUUGUAACAAGAGGAAAUUAAACUUAAUUGAUUUUUACUUUACCCGGCAGCCUCUUUGUGUAAACUUCCAUUACAUCCAUUUUUAUAUGAGAUAUCAUUUUAUCACAUUUCUCUGCAUUCUCCUUCAUCUGAAUUGAGUUGUCUGUUUACUUUAUUAUUUAAAAAUGCCAAAUAGCAACUUUAAUUGAUGAUGAUGUGCUCUAGUAACUAACACCAAAUUUAAUUUCAGUUUAGGCUGUAAUUCUGAUUGUCGAUGGUGCCAAACCAUUGUAUUUUUGGGUUCCAUAUAAUUCAAUAAUUUUACCAUUAUGAAUGGAUCCAGUUUGUUGAUAUAUAAAUUAAUAAAUAACACAUAUUGUA